rnacentral:rRNA from 1 species
CUUGGUUCUGGCAACGAUGAAGAACGCAGCGAAAUGCGAUAAGUAAUGUGAAUUGCAGAAUUCAGUGAAUCAUCGAAUCUUUGAACGCACAUUGCGCCCCCUGGUAUUCCGGGGGGCACGCCUGUUCGAGCGCCAUUCAACCCUCAAGCCUCGCUUGGUGAUGGGCCCCGCCCAAGGGCGGGCCCGAAACCCGUAGGCGUCGACGACCGGCUCCAAGCGUAGCAAGACCCUCGCUUGGGUGCCCGGCCGGCGGCCGCCCGGACGAAACUUCACAAGGUUGGCCUCGGAUCAGGCGGGGAUACCCGCUGAACUUAA